rnacentral:miRNA from 1 species
AACCUCAUCGACCGGAAGGGAUUCCUUCCGGUUGAUGAGGUGUAACAACCCUAUUGACCGGAAGGAAUUUCUUCUGAUUGAUGAGGUG